rnacentral:rRNA from 1 species
UACGUAGGGGGCAAGCGUUGUCCGGAAUCAUUGGGCGUAAAGCGCGUGUAGGCGGCCUUGUAAGUCCGUUCUGAAAGCCCGGGGCUCAACCCCGGGAGGCGGAUGGAUACUGCAAGGCUCGAGUCCGGAAGAGGCGAGUGGAAUUCCCGGUGUAGCGGUUAAAUGCAUUAAUAUCGGGUAGAACACCAAAGGCGAAGGCAGCUUGCUGGAACACAACUGACGCUCAGUGAACGAAAGCGUGGGGAGCGAAAGGG